UUUAGCGAGCAAAGGAAUAAGUUCCCGUAGGGAUAACAGNGUAAUUUUUUUGGAGAGUUCAUAUUGAUAAAAAAGUUUGCGNCCUCGAUGUUGGAUCGAGAUUUCCUAGAGAUGCAGCAGUUUNUAAGGGUUGGUCUGUUCGACCAUUAAAAUCUUACGUGAUCUGAGUUCAGACCGGCGUAAGCCAGGUCAGUUUCUAUCCACGAAAGUUGCGCUUUUNUUAGUUCGAAAGGACCAGAAAAGCAGUACCAAUUUUUAAAAAAAAGUACUAAAAAAAAGUUUUGAAAAAAAAAUGAAAAUUUUCACUAAAAAAUUUUACUUUU
rnacentral:rRNA from 1 species